UUGAAACACCGGUUCUCGUACGAUCACUGAAGUUAAGCAACGUCGAGUCUGGUCAGAACCUAGAUGGGUGACCGUUUGGAAACACCAGGUACUGUAAG